rnacentral:rRNA from 1 species
ACUCCUACGGGAGGCAGCAGUGGGGAAUCUUGCGCAAUGGGGGCAACCCUGACGCAGCGACGCCGCGUGGGUGACGAAGGCCUUCGGGUUGUAAAGCCCUGUGGGGUAGAACGAACUGGCAUCGGGCUAAUAUCCCGGUGUCUUGACGGUACUGCCUUAGCAAGCAUCGGCUAACUCUGUGCCAGCAGCCGCGGUAAU